CGGACGGGUGAGUAACGCGUGAGAAUCUGGCUUCAGGUCUGGGACAACCACUGGAAACGGUGGCUAAUACCGGAUGUGCCGAGAGGUGAAAGGUUAACUGCCUGAAGAUGAGCUCGCGUCUGAUUAGCUAGUUGGAAGUGUAAUGGACUCCCAAGGCGACGAUCAGUAGCUGGUCUGAGAGGACGAUCAGCCACACUGGGACUGAGACACGGCCCAGACUCCUACGGGAGGCAGCAGUGGGGAAUUUUCCGCAAUGGGCGAAAGCCUGACGGAGCAAUACCGCGUGAGGGAGGAAGGCUCUUGGGUCGUAAACCUCUUUUCUCAGGGAAGAACAAAAUGACGGUACCUGAGGAAUAAGCAUCGGCUAACUCCGUGCCAGCAGCCGCGGUAAUACGGAGGAUGCAAGCGUUAUCCGGAAUGAUUGGGCGUAAAGCGUCCGCAGGUGGCUAUGUAAGUCUGCUGUUAAAGAGUCUAGCUCAACUAGAUAAGAGCAGUGGAAACUACAAGGCUAGAGUACGUUCGGGGCAGAGGGAAUUCCUGGUGUAGCGGUGAAAUGCGUAGAGAUCAGGAAGAACACCGGUGGCGAAGGCGCUCUGCUAGGCCGUAACUGACACUGAGGAACGAAAGCUAGGGGAGCGAAUGGGAUUAGAUACCCCAGUAGUC
rnacentral:rRNA from 1 species